AGUAUGCCCACAAUAAGCAACAGCUCCGGUUUAUGUAUCGGCUCCUGCUCGAUGAACCUAUUGGAGAAAGUUGAAAAAGACUCUGAUGAACGUAAUGAGAACGCAUUGAACGUAAUGUUUACAUUUAAUAUCCAGUUCUAUUGAUAAGCGCGGGCGUGUGCCAUAUCUUGGAUUACCUUGUUAUUGACAGAACAACAUAAAGGAAAGUGAGAACAUUUGUUAAGCGAUUCCGGGUCUACUGCGCCCAGCUCCACAGCGCUAAUCAUAGCUAUUUGAAGGCAAAGAAGAAGAGCUGGCACGUUUAUACAAUCGUCAGGCGUAUAAAAACGCGCAUCGUAAAGUGGCAAGAAAUAUGCAUGCGGCAUGCAAAUGGAAACGCUGCGAAUAACAAAUGGCGAAUAUCGAAAAACGUAAAUUAAAAUAAAAGAUAACAAAAUAAACGACUGACUAACAACAACAACAACAGCAACAAUAAAUAAAAUAAACAAAAACAAAUUCAAGAAAAUGUGAGCACACGAAACGGUGACAAGGCGAAACGUUCGGAAUUGCGCGCUGGGUGUGCGAAGGCGUUGACCACGACAGCAGCUACACACACACACACACACACACACACACACACACUUAGAGAGAGACACACACAGGUACGUAAUGGCACAGGUGCCUCACCUUUUGCAAGCCUCAAUCGUGAUGCUGAAGCAGAGCGCGACCAGAAACACCGCAUUGACCAGAGCGCCCAGGACCUCGGCGCGCGCCCAGCCGAAUGUGUUCUUUGACCAUUUUUUGGGUGACAUCUGUUUUGGAUUGAGAAUAUGCAUUAGUUAUAGACACAAUCAAAGCAUAUAGCAAAAUAUAGUGCGCACCUUAACUGACAGAAAUGAUAUGACCAGGGCAGCUAUAUCGCCCAGCAUGUGAAAGCUGUCCGCGACGAGAGCCAUCGAAUUGGUCACAUAGCCGACUAUGAUUUCCACAAAGAAGAAGAACGCCGUCAGCCACAUCAUCGAGAGGAGGCGGCAUUUUUUGCCCGAAUAUUUGGACAUCUUGGAGAAACUGAAAGCAAGAAACGUACAUUCAAAUUUGCACAGGCAUUUUGGAAGACGCCGAAGAUAUUUCGGAGAUGAAAGCAAAUA